AUGAAAAUCGACAUCUCCAAAGCUUUUGACACACUCUCUUGGGGUUUUUUGCUGGAGGUGUUGCGGGCCAGAGGAUUUGGUGUUCGCUGGUGCUCCUGGAUCUGUGGCUUGCUGAGUACGGCUACCACCUCGGUGCUCAUCAACGGU
rnacentral:rRNA from 1 species